CAGUAGGGAAUCUUCGGCAAUGGGGGCAACCCUGACCGAGCAACGCCGCGUGAGUGAAGAAGGUUUUCGGAUCGUAAAGCUCUGUUGUAAGAGAAGAACGUGUGUGAGAGUGGAAAGUUCACACAGUGACGGUAACUUACCAGAAAGGGACGGCUAACUACGUGCCAG
rnacentral:rRNA from 1 species